UGUGCCAGCCGCCGCGGUAAUACGGAGGAUGCGAGCGUUAUCCGGAUUUAUUGGGUUUAAAGGGUGCGUAGGUGGUUAAUUAAGUCAGCGGUGAAAGUUUGUGGCUCAACCAUAAAAUUGCCGUUGAAACUAGUUGACUUGAGUAUAUUUGAGGUAGGCGGAAUGCGUGGUGUAGCGGUGAAGUGCAUAGAUAUCACGCAGAACUCCGAUUGCGAAGGCAGCUUACUAAACUAUAACUGGCACUGAAGCACGAAAGCGUGGGGAGCAAACAGG
rnacentral:rRNA from 1 species